AGUUCGAUCCGGCUCAGAUUGAACGCUGGCGGGAUGCUUUACACAUGCAAGUCUAACGGCAGCACGGACCGGUCUUGGUGGCGAGUGGCGAACGGGUGAGUAAUGUAUCGGAACGUGCCUAGUAGCGGGGGAUUUAAUCACGCGAUACUGAUGACUUUCGGACGUUGUUACAUGACUUCGGGGGAAAGCGGGGGACCUUCGGGCCUUGCACUAUUAGAGCGCUGAUAUCGGAUUAGCUAGUUGGUGGGUAACGGCUCACCAAGGCGACGAUCCGUAGCUGGUUUGAGAGGACGACCAGCCACAUUGGGAUCGAAAGACAUCAGCCCAGAUCACGGGAGGCAGUGAAUUUUGGACAAUGGGGAAACCCCUGAUCCAGCCAUCCUGCGUGUGCGAUGAAGGCCUUCGGGUUGUAAAGCACUUUCGGGCAGGAAGAAACGGCACGGGGAUACCCCUGUGCAACUGACGGUACUCUGGCAGUCACAUCACAACUACGUGCCAGCAGCCGCCGGUAAUACGUGUAGGUGCGUUAAUCGGAAUUACCGGGCGUAAAGCGUGCGCAGGCGGUUCGGAAAGAAAGAUGCGGAAACCCAGAGCUUAACUUUGGAACUGCAUUUUUAACUACCGAGCUAGAGUGUGUCAGGAGGGAGGUGGAAUUCCGCGUGUAGCAGUGAAAUGCGUAGAUAUGCGGAGGAACACCGAUGGCGAAGGCAGCCUCCUGGGAUAACACUGACGCUCAUGCACGAAAGCGCGGGAGCAAACAGUGGAUUAGAUACCUGUAGUCCACGUCCUAAACGAUGUCAACUUAUACUGUCGUCAGGCCUUCGGCCUUGGUAGCGCAGCUAACGCGUGAAGGACCGCCUGGGGAGUACGGUCGCAAGAUUAAACCGCAGCAUGAAUUGACGGGGACCCGCACAAGCGGUGGAUGAUGUGGAUUAAUUCGAUGCAACGCGAAAAACCUUACCUACUCCUUGACAUGUCUGGAAUCCCGAAGAGAUUUGGGAGUGCUCGCAAGAGAACCGAACACAGGUGCUGCAUGGCUGUCGUCAGCUCGUGUCGAGACGUUGGGUUAAGUCCCGCAACGAGCGCAACCUCCCUUGUCAUUCUUGAAGUUGCUACGAAAGGGCACUCUAAUGAGACUGCCGGCAGACAAACCGGAGGAAGGUGGGGAUGACGUCAAGUCCUCAUGGCCCUUGCGGUAGGGCUUCACACGUCAUACAAUGGUCGGGACAGAGGGUCGCCAACCCGCGAGGAGCCAAUCCCACGAAACCCGAUCGUAGUCCGGAUCGCAGUCUGCAACUCGACUGCGUGAAGUCGGAAUCACAUGCCGGUAAUCGCGGAUCAGCAUGUCGCGGUGAACAUGUUCCCGGGUCUUGUACACACCGCCCGUCACACCAUGGGAGUGGGUUUUACCAGAAGUAGUUAGCCUAACCGUAAGGAGGGCGAUUACCACGGUAGGAUUCAUGAUCAGGGUGAAGUCGUAACAAGGUA
rnacentral:rRNA from 1 species